AUUGAACGCUGGCGGCAUGCUUUACACAUGCAAGUCGAACGGGCUUGGGGGCUUGCUCCCAAGUUAGUGGCGAACGGGUGAGUAAUACAUCGGAACGUACCGUGUAGUGGGGGAUAACGUAGCGAAAGUUACGCUAAUACCGCAUACGAUCUACGGAUGAAAGCAGGGGACCUUCGGGCCUUGUGCUAUACGAGCGGCCGAUGUCUGAUUAGCUAGUUGGUGAGGUAAAGGCUCACCAAGGCGACGAUCAGUAGCGGGUCUGAGAGGAUGAUCCGCCACACUGGGACUGAGACACGGCCCAGACUCCUACGGGAGGCAGCAGUGGGGAAUUUUGGACAAUGGGCGAAAGCCUGAUCCAGCCAUGCCGCGUGUCUGAAGAAGGCCUCGGUUGUAAGGAC
rnacentral:rRNA from 1 species